rnacentral:tRNA from 1 species
AAAUUUAAAGGUAUAAUUAUUAUGUCAUUUUCUAU